UACGUAGGGCGCGAGCGUUGUCCGGAAUUAUUGGGCGUAAAGAGCUCGUAGGCGGUUUGUCACGUCUGCUGUGAAAACUGGAGGCUCAACCUCCAGCCUGCAGUGGGUACGGGCAGACUAGAGUGCGGUAGGGGAGAUUGGAAUUCCUGGUGUAGCGGUGGAAUGCGCAGAUAUCAGGAGGAACACCAAUAGCGAAGGCAGCUCGCUGGGACGUUACUGACACUGAGGCGCGAAAGCGUGGGGAGCGAACAGG
rnacentral:rRNA from 1 species